UACAGAGGUCUCAAGCGUUGUUCGGAUUCAUUGGGCGUAAAGGGUGCGUAGGCGGCGCGGUAAGUCGGGUGUGAAAUCUCGGAGCUUAACUCCGAAACUGCAUUCGAUACUGCCGUGCUUGAGGACUGGAGAGGAGACUGGAAUUUACGGUGUAGCGGUGAAAUGCGUAGAUAUCGUAAGGAAGACCAGUGGCGAAGGCGGGUCUCUGGACAGUUCCUGACGCUGAGGCACGAAGGCCCAGGGGGAGCAAAACGGGG
rnacentral:rRNA from 1 species